CCGGCGCACGGGUGAGUAACGCGUAUGCAACUUACCUAUCAGAGGGGGAUAACCCGGCGAAAGUCAGACUAAUACCGCAUGAAGCAGGGGCCCCGCAUGGGGAUAUUUGCUAAAGAUUCAUCGCUGAUAGAUAGGCAUGCGUUCCAUUAGGCAGUUGGCGGGGUAACGGCCCACCAAACCGACGAUGGAUAGGGGUUCUGAGAGGAAGGUCCCCCACAUUGGUACUGAGACACGGACCAA
rnacentral:rRNA from 1 species